UACGGGGGGGGGCAAGCGUUGUUCGGAAUUACUGGGCGUAAAGGGCGCGUAGGCGGCCUGCUAAGUCGGACGUGAAAUCCCUCGGCUCAACCGAGGAACUGCGUCCGAUACUGGUGGGCUUGAAUCCGGGAGAGGGAUGUGGAAUUCCAGGUGUAGCGGUGAAAUGCGUAGAUAUCUGGAGGAACACCGGUGGCGAAGGCGGCAUCCUGGACCGGUAUUGACGCUGAGGCGGCGAAAAGCUAGGGGAGCAAACGGG
rnacentral:rRNA from 1 species